AUCCAACUGAUAAGUCCCAAACAGGACGAAACACUCGUACUGGAG
rnacentral:hammerhead_ribozyme from 1 species